ACACAUUAAACUUAGUAAUUACACUUAAUUACAUCUAAAUUCAAUUCGCUUUUCAAUAAGAUCCUUGCCAAUAUCACGUCGUUGAUUUUUCUAAUUACUCGGCGAUUUCCCCCCACCGCAUGCGCGUGUCACCGGCAGCAACCACCGUCGGCGGCAACUUCAUCACGACCUCCUUGAUCCUCUUGGAAUCGGUAAACAUGUCCUUUUAACUCAGUGCAAAUUGGAUUAUUCUAGAAUCCAAAGUUUAUUGGCGACUCUAUUGCUUUUAGUAGUUGUUGUAAUUCUGCUUUCUAUUUUUGCUGGUAUUUUCUGUUUCUUUGUACUUGAAGGUCUGAUCGGAGACUAUGUUGCUCCAGAAGUAGUUGAUAGUUCGCAAUUAUAUUUAAUUUACCCGAAUUUUAUGUUUUUAUUUAAUUAAUCACUGUUUGGUUUGCUCCAGAAGUAGUUCUCUUGCUAAUCUGAAUCAGUGAUGAUCCUUGUAUAGGCGAUGACUGGUUUCUGCAGUAUCACACUAGCAACAAGAUAGGUCUAGAAUUGCCAUUUUGCAUUUCCAUUUGUUUCUUUGUUUCGGUGAAUUUGGAUCUUUUUGCUCUAGAAUCAUGUCCUGGUGGUGACUGUAUUGCUCUAGGAGCAGUUGUGAAUAAGCUUUUCUGGUCAUUUUUUUUUUCUGUUUCAUGAAUUUCGUUCUUUGUGCUCCAUAUACAUGGCAGUAUCUGAUCUAGGAUUUGGAGGCUAUGGGUUCUAAGUUGGAGCGUUCGUGUAUUUCCAAAAAGGGAACCCUAUGUACGUUACCUUGAAAAAGAAAAGAUUAUAGAACCAUAUGUAAAAGAACAAAAAGAAAUGUAGACUGUGGGACUCUAACUCAUGUCUAAUAACUUAAUAUCAUUCGCAUAGGACUUUCACGACUAAACAGAAAUGCUUAUCGUUGCUGGUUCACAUUUCAAACUUUGAUAAUUUGUCAGCUUUUAGUAGGCUUUACAAUAUUUAUACACAGCCCAUACUAGAACCAGUGGGUUUGGUGAAACCUAGUCCUAUUGAACUGGGUUCACCACUGAAAUGUAGUCUGAUUGGCGAAUGUUUUUCGAUAGAAAUAUUGUGUAAUUUUCCCAUCUUUACUGAACAUUUUGUCUUUCUUUAUAUGUGGUUGUUUACCCUGAAUUUAUUGUCUGAUUGGCGACUAUGUUGCCACAGGAGCACGAAUUACUUGUAGAUUCACAUUAUAACAUUGUUUUUGGAGUAGUCCCAUUUCAAUUUUGUGCUAUUUGUGAGUUCUGCAGCUUGGGUUGGCCAAGGAUUCUUGCAGAGCAAUAAUAAAAAUGAUAUCGUGAGUUAGGUGAUUCUUUCCUAUCUGCCUAAGUCUUGGUAGGUAGAGUUACUCGGUAUAUGUGCUGGUGAGUGGUGAGAGAUGGUAGGUGGAGUAGUUGAGGUGAAGGCAAGAUAACUGACACAACCAUUAUAAAAAGAAUAUCAUCAUGAGUUGAGCUGAAUGCAUGGUUGGCUAGUUAAGUUAUCUGCUAUUAGGAUGUGCUGUGGGCGGGAUGAUACCAACAUAAAGAAUCAUCUAAAUAUUAAUUCCAUACAAGCUAAGGUAGGCUAUGAAAAUCCUCUAUGUCAAUUCUGUUCUAUUUGGCCCCUUUUCAUUCCAAUACCUCAAAAUAAUUGAUUCAUGUAGCCGACCCUAGCUUGUGUGGGACUAAGGCAUAGAAGCAGUUGUUAUUGUUAGGAAAACUACAGAAAUUUCAAAAUUGAAGGUUCUCUAAAUCUACAUUGACAUAAGAAUUUCCUUGAACUAGAAGGAGUCUAAGCUAGUUAUAUCACUUAUAUAAGACAUAUUCUUUCAUUAUAUUUUAUUUCUAGCUAACAAGCAUUGGUUCCAUGAAACUUACUAUUAUGGACAUAAUUUCGUUUACGUGAUUUAGGUCUACACAUGUCUUAUUAGUACCGUCAGUUAUCAACCUGAGUAAUCUGGAUAAAACUGCAUCCUUUCUGUUGUUAGAAGAUAAAAUUGUACACUUCUGUCCAUUGUAACCCUAAGAGGACGGUCUCAUGCUGACCAUUAACUUUGAGCAUUAAUUCUUGUUCCUAUUAAGUUUGUCUUUGGAUGCGUCAGAUUUUCUGGUUGUUAGUGUUUUGUGAUCAUUGUCCAAUCUCUUCCUUACAAUUGCUUAUUGUUUUUGUAAUGUAAUUGUUAGCCUAAUCACUUUUGUCAAUUUUGCAGGUACAAUUCUAUUUCUUUGGUAAUGAAUAGACCCAAAGGAUACUAACUGCUGCUUUAACCUCAAAGUCAGCAUCUAUUACAUGAAAAAGGGCAUACAGGUCAACAAUGAAGCGUUUUGUUUAUAUUGAUGAUGAUGAUUUGUCAAACAAUAUUUACUGUGACAACCGGAUCUCAAACAGAAAAUAUACUGUAUGGAAUUUUCUUCCAAAGAACUUGUG
rnacentral:lncRNA from 1 species